rnacentral:rRNA from 1 species
AAUAACGUAGACGAAAGUUACGCUAAUACCGCAUAACGCCCUGGAGGGGGAAAGCGAGGGGAUCGCAAGACCUUGCGCGAAUGGAGCGGCCGAUGUCAGAUUAGCUAGUUGGUGGGGUAAAGGCCUACCAAGGCGACGAUCUGUAGCGGGUCUGAGAGGAUGAUCCGCCACACUGGGACUGAGACACGGCCCAGACUCCUACGGGAGGCAGCAGUGGGGAAUUUUGGACAAUGGGCGCAAGCCUGAUCCAGCCAUGCCGCGUGCGGGACGAAGGCCUUCGGGUUGUAAACCGCUUUCAGCCGGAAAGAAAUCGCCAAGGCUAAUAUCCUUGGUGGAUGACGGUACCGGAAGAAGAAGCACCGGCUAACUACGUG